CUGGCUCAGAACGAACGCUGGUGGCGUGUCUAUACAUGCAAGUCGAGCGAGGCAGCAAUGCCGAGCGGCGAACGGGUGAGUAACGCGUAAGCAAUCUGCCCCAUAUCAGGAAAUACCCGUGCCAACGCGCGGUUAAUGUCCAGGAGAGUGGCCCUCUGCAUGGAGGGUUGACUAGAGAUUUAUCGGUAUGGGAUGAGCUUGCGUCCGAUUAGCUAGUUGGCGGGGCAACGGCCCACCAAGGCGACGAUCGGUAGCCGGCCUGAGAGGGUGAUCGGCCACAUUGGGACUGAGAUACGGCCCAGACUCCUACGGGAGGCAGCAGUAGGGAAUAUUGCACAAUGGGGGAAACCCUGAUGCAGCAACGCCACGUGUGGGAAGAAGCAUUUCGGUGUGUAAACCACUGUCAUGAGGGAAUAAGGCCCUUAUCCGUAAGGGAUUGAAUGUACCUUGAGAGGAAGCACCGGCAAACUUCGUGCCAGCCGCCGC
rnacentral:rRNA from 1 species